rnacentral:rRNA from 1 species
GACGAACGCUGGCGGCGUGCUUAACACAUGCAAGUCGAGCGGUAAGGCCCUUUCGGGGGUACACGAGCGGCGAACGGGUGAGUAACACGUGGGUGACCUGCCCUCAGCUCUGGGAUAAGCCCGGGAAACUGGGUCUAAUACCGGAUAUGACUCCACGGUGCAUGUCGUGGGGUGGAAAGCCUUGUGCGGCUGAGGAUGGGCCCGCGGCCUAUCAGCUUGUUGGUGGGGUGAUGGCCACCAAGGCGACGACGGGUAGCCGGCCUGAGAGGGCGACCGGCCACACUGGGACUGAGACACGGCCCAGACUCCUACGGGAGGCAGCAGUGGGGAAUCUUGCGCAAUGGGCGAAAGCCUGACGCAGCGACGCCGCGUGAGGGAUGACGG